AAUGUGAGCCGCCAAUAAAAAAGAAGCAGCAGCGGCUGCAUUUCCAGCGACUGUGAUGUUGGCAUUGACCGCAGUGUAAAUAACUAGAAGGUUAUAAUACCAGAGUUAGUGAUCUGGGCUUAUAAACUAUCACACAAACACAGGAUAUACAGCAGAAUUAUGUGCCAAUGUCGGAUAAUUUUCUAACGUCAGCAGUUAUAGUAAAAGUAUUAUUAAAUCAAUCUCAAACAUCUGCUGAUUAGGAACCACAUCGAUCUCAAACCCUCGCCACUCAAGAACAACCAUAACAACAACAACAACAAACAAUUGCAUAUAAUAAACUCCUGCACCUGGGUUCAUCACAAGCUCCUGUGUUGCCGUGUCAUUACAACUGUCAGUGUGGAUCCUCAUUUUCACCUCACAAUAA